rnacentral:rRNA from 1 species
GACGAACGCUGGCGGCGUGCCUAAUACAUGCAAGUCGAGCGAGCUUGCCUAGAUGAUUUUAGUGCUUGCACUAAAUGAAACUAGAUACAAGCGAGCGGCGGACGGGUGAGUAACACGUGGGUAACCUGCCCAAGAGACUGGGAUAACACCUGGAAACAGAUGCUAAUACCGGAUAACAACACUAGACGCAUGUCUAGAGUUUGAAAGAUGGUUCUGCUAUCACUCUUGGAUGGACCUGCGGUGCAUUAGCUAGUUGGUAAGGUAACGGCUUACCAAGGCAAUGAUGCAUAGCCCGAGUUUGGGAGACGUACG